GACGAACGCUGGCGGCGUGCUUAACACAUGCAAGUCGAGCGGUAAGGCCCUUUCGGGGGUACACGAGCGGCGAACGGGUGAGUAACACGUGGGUGACCUGCCCUCAGCUCUGGGAUAAGCCUGGGAAACCGGGUCUAAUACCGGAUAUGACUCCAUGACGCAUGUUGUGGGGUGGAAAGCCUUGUGCGGCUGAGGAUGGGCCCGCGGCCUAUCAGCUUGUUGGUGGGGUGANGGCCUACCAAGGCGACGACGGGUAGCCGGCCUGAGGGGGCGACCGGCCACACUGGGACUGAGACACGGCCCAGACUCCUACGGGAGGCAGCAGUGGGGAAUCUUGCGCAAUGGGCGAAAGCCUGACGCAGCGACGCCGCGUGAGGGAUGACGGCCUGGU
rnacentral:rRNA from 1 species